CCGCCGCUGCUUCCGCCGCCGCCGCCGCCACCGCCGCCGCCGCCGCCUCACAGGCCUUCUCCACCGAUCGGUCCCAAAUCGACUGACUGUCUCCUGGAAGCGGGGGCGGGGACGUCAGGAGGAUCCAUUCGGCAGGGCCUCGUUCAAUCGCUUCAUUCAAAUGCAGAAAGCUCUGUGCUCAGCUUCAGUCUGCAGGGCUUCAGGAGACGGAGCAUUUUAGUACUCAAUGAUGCCAAGACAAAAGGGUGAGAGAAAAUGGGAAACGUUCGUGGAGAUGGUCCUAGGCAGAUAGUGGACGCAACUAGAAGACCUUCAGUCUCCGGGCCGGCUUUCAGGUUGAGACAAAAACCCUAAGGCAAGCGCUUGCUGCCACAGCACAUCGACUAACACGGGAACCAUCCAGAGAAGAUCAGCACGGCCCCUGAACGUGGACGACACACGCACAUACGUGAAGAGUUCCGUAGCUUUAGUGAUGUCAGUCACCCAGAGGAAGACAGAUAUCCUAUGCCAUCACUUCUAGGUGGGAUCUGAAAUCUAUAUCUCCCAUGGAUUCUGACGACCUUGCCUGAUGAUGGCGGGUGAUGGGGGCAGAGAUCGAUCCUUCUGAGAAGUAAGUUGGCAAGCGCUUUAGUGAAGCCUCGUAGGAUUUACCCAGCGAAGCGAGUGCCUUCGUCCCUGGAGGCUGCGGAAACAGUGUCCUGGCCAUGCUGAUGGCAUCAGGCUUGCAGCGGGGGAAGGAAGGCUUCAACCCCUUUGGAAGUCAUACCUACCAUCCCAAGAACGUCUGGAUGACCCCUACUAUGUGGCAGUUGAAUGGGGGCCAGUUACUGGGGUUCAGCGGGUCCAGAGAGAGGAGGUCUGAGGCCUCUGGGGACAAAACGUUUGUACGUAUGUAUGUAUGUGUGUAUGGCCAGUUGACUGUUUUUGCGGUCCUAUAGGAAUCUUCCUGCCCCUGUCUAUUGAACAAUGGGAGUCAUCUUCCAAGUGCCCUGACACCAGACACCACGGCCAUUUGCCGAAUGGACAGAACAGACUGGGGCCACGUGUGCCACCCACCCUCUUUCCGGAGGCUGUGGUCCACUGUGUUUGCAUGAAAGUCAGUGAAGGAGGCAUCUCCUUGGGACUCGGUUCCGUCCCUUUCACGAGAGCCUCCACUUUGGAUGACAGCCAGCCAGCCAGCCAGCCCUCGAUGCCAGGGCAGUAGACGACUGCCAGGAAUAUCCCAUCCUUUCUGGAACCCUGAGUGUACCCACCUGUACAGACACAAGGCUGAAGAAUACAUGACGUUCCUUCCUA